rnacentral:rRNA from 1 species
UGCCAGCAGCCGCGGUAACACGUAAGGGGCAAGCGCUGUCCGGAAUUACUGGGCGUAAAGCGCGCGUAGGCGGCUGAGUAAGUCAGAUGUGAAAGCCCCGGGCUCAACCUGGGAAUGGCAUUUGAGACUGCUCGGCUAGAGUCUGUCAGGGGGUGGCGGAAUUCCGGGUGUAGCGGUGAAAUGCGUAGAUAUCCGGAGGAACACCGGUGGCGAAGGCGGCCACCUGGGGCAAGACUGACGCUGAGGUGCGAAAGCGUGGGGAGCAAACAGGAUGAGAUA